rnacentral:rRNA from 1 species
UACGGAGGGAGCUAGCGUUGUUCGGAAUUACUGGGCGUAAAGCGCACGUAGGCGGCUUUGUAAGUUAGAGGUGAAAGCCCGGGGCUCAACUCCGGAACUGCCUUUAAGACUGCAUCGCUUGAAUCCGGGAGAGGUGAGUGGAAUUCCGAGUGUAGAGGUGAAAUUCGUAGAUAUUCGGAAGAACACCAGUGGCGAAGGCGGCUCACUGGACCGGUAUUGACGCUGAGGCGCGAAAGCUAGGGGAGCAAACGGG